rnacentral:lncRNA from 1 species
CGUGCCCUAACUUACUGGGUUUCGAUUUUUCUCCUUUAACCUAAAUAACGGAAUACUCUUUUAAAUCACGACAUGAUUUUUGAAAAAUGCUUAUUCUUAGAGAUACGAGGUGUUGUGCCCUAACUUACUGGGUAUGGCAUUUUGUUACCUCGAAAUAAGAUUUUUGCAAGUAAAGGCAAUAUUCGGUGUUCGGGAAUUCGAGGAAACGUGCCCUAACUUACUGGGUUUCGAUUUUCCUCGUUCACCUUAACUAACUGAAUAACCUUUUGAAAUACACGAAUUUUUAUAUAAAAGGCAAGCUCGCUCUCGAAAAUUCAAGAUGUCGUGUCCUAACUUACUGGAUGUGACAUUUUAUAUUGUGAGACGAGAAGGUCCUUAACAUUUGAGAAUUUUCUUUACAAAGAGGGAUCGUAUUUUGAAUUCUUUCAAGUUUUCAAAUUUUCGACACUAAGACACUAAUUAAUCAACUAGGUAUCAAUUUUGGGCGUAUCGAGGGUGCUAAUCCUUCCUCGUGCGUAACCGACUCCCGAACUCAUUUUCUGAUUUUCGUAGACCAAAAAUUAUCGUUUUAGUAAAUCUUAACUUUUAUUAAAAUGAUUAAUUUAAGGUGAUCCGAUCACACCUAAAAAGAUUGGUGGCGACUCCUGUUUUCGUUUUUUUCUCCAAGUCGAUACCCGUUUUUUCAAAAAAAUGGUUACGACACCAUCUAACUAUGAGAACUACUUACUGUUUCCACUGCAAGAAUUUUUGUCGUCUAAUAAAAACAUUGACCCUUCCAUUAGAAUUUUUUGCAAGAGCAGUGUGCUCUUAGCCUCAUGUUCUAGAUCAUCCACAAACUCUGAUGUCUAUGCCAUGAAUGAACCUUAAUACCUUCAAUUGCAACCUUCAAUUGCAACUUUUUGAAGUUGGCCUGCAUGCAGCAAAUAAAACAACCAAGGAGCAGACCAUGCAACACAAGUCAUACGGAUGAAGUGUUGAAGAUCAAGCUGGAAGAUCAAGCUACUGCAAUAUCUCCGGAUGAAGUACAUACAGCAUGUAAGCAUGAUGCAACACGUAUACGUGCUAUAAUAUUUCUGAAUGAAG